GGCUCAAGCAGGCGUCCUAUUAGCUGAGUGCUAACAGGCAGCCUGUGUUCCCGUGGGGGCUGAAUGCUGCUGAGUCAUCCUGUACAAGCUGACCAGUACAACCAUUUGCAUGUUUACUGGAGACCAGGAUGCAGCGAGGGCUGGAGUGUGAAGACUGACAAGUUCAGCCACCAAGCCAAGGUCGCAAAAACUGGAGGAGGCAGGGUGGAGGAGAGCUGUGCAUGAACUACAACCCUCAGGAUGCCAUGGCAAUGAAGACAUGUAGAGGUGUGGUGUGAAGAGGAACAAGGUGAAAGUCUUUCCCCUGUUUUAGGAUCCAAGCCAGCUUAGGUUACCUGAGAGGAAAAUCCACCCAUGAGCAACAGAGCGCAUUAUUCUCUGACCUUGGACUGUUCAAUGGAGAGCUGGAAAACAAAGACUGAUUUAUGGAUCAAGAGCCAACUGCCGGAGCUACAGUAAAAUUAUUGAUGUGAAUGAGGCAUCAGCUUUUCACAAACCAACACACUGACUUUUCUUAUAGUAAAAUAAGUCUCAUUUAGAUCCUGAAACAAGACUCCUGUGACAAGAGAAAGAGUGUUUGCUGACACAUGGGCAGCUGUGAUUGGUUACUGUGCAUUUCUUGAAAUGUACUACAUACAUAUCUGUUGUCGACUCUGCUGCAGACUUUGCACAUGCAUAGGCUGUGUUUUGACAGACGUGUGGUCAGGAUUUCCUGUGUAAUGACAUCAGUCUGAAAGGGAUUUGGCUGCUGCACUGACAUUUGUAUUAUCAAUCCUAAAAGAACAGGAACUCUCAUCUUGUUUCACCAUGGCUGAUAUUUAUUGUGUUGCAGCUGUUAUUCAAGGGGCCCACUAUUUCUCUUGGCACCACAGAUUAGAAAUCAUUUUUGCCUCUGUAGUUUAAAGUUGCCAAAGGGGUGUAAAACACAUCCUGCAUAAGCUGGCACUCUAUCCUGGAAGUCUUGCAUACAUACAAAGAGGCUUGUGUGCAUAAUUCAAAUCUCAAUGUCCACAUUUCCCGAGUUUUUUUUUUCUUCUCUCAGUCAGAUGAGGAGUAAUUCAAAAUGUGACAUGAAAUGAACAUGCAAAUAAUUGUGUUUUUAGAAUGUAUUUUUGAAAAUACUGUCACAGAUGCACUGAACUGGUUUAACACUGAUUGAUAACGUUUUAGGUGACCUAAAGUAUGUUGGCUGCAGGAAAAGAAAGUCUCAGCGGUGUCAUCUCUGGGUGGCCUGUUUCUGGGUUUUUACCCUGAGGCCAGUGGGAUGUGAACAGUGCUGUCUCUCUACAUGGGAUCUUUUGUCCUCUCCACCUUCUCAAUAAUUCAAUGGAAAGAGGAGACAUCAGCUCUGGUAUAAUUACUGUGUGAGGGUGACAAGCUCCUCUGUCAGGGGCAAGAUGGGGACGAGCUUUACAGUGCUGGAGGAAGCUAAACGACACAGAAACUGUGUGUACAGUGACACUGUCGAUGACAAAAGCUUCAGCUACCGGGAGAUGAUGAAACUGCAGGUAAUUUGGAGAAAAUCUUUGUGACAACAUUCUCUGUUUUUGUUUUUCAGUAAGAACUCAACUCAGUGCUUAAUCAUCGCAAAGAAGCUCGAAAAUGGUGAUGGCACCUGAAAAAUGAAUCAUUAGACUCAGGUGCAACAUUUCACUUAUGAACUGUAAUGCAUGUCUUGGGUUUUGGUAUUGUUCUGCAAGUUCUCAGUGGUCAAGGGGCAAUAUGAUCCAUCACUGUUAGGCAGAGAGUUGUGUGAGAUCUUAUUUCAGCUCUGGGCCCAGCUAAGAUGACAGAUCCUGUUAAUAUAACACCAGCCAAAACCCAAACUUCCUGCUAAGUAAAACCCUCGGCAUAAGCAUACCUGCCAAGAUAUGACUAAAACGGUUACUGUCACCGAGACCUAAAACCUGGCAUGGGCACAGGCUUGGCAUAAGGCCCCCAGUUUAAAAUGAGCUAGACAAAGUAGGCAGUCAGAAGUAGAUGUUUUGACACAUUGUCUCCCACAGGUACCCAGGAAAAAGUCUGGACCAAAAUAUAUCAAGUCUGUUGCAGUAGGAGUGCUGAUUUGAAAUCACUGAGACAGUCCCCUGACUGUCUCAUUCCUCAUGAUGUAAGAGGCUGAGCUGAUCCAAGCUCAGCGCUGAUGAUGAAAUUGUUCUUACGUGUCAGAAAGCAUUAAAAAAGGUCAAAGGA